UUUUUUUUUUUGUGCGCCCAUAUUUAAAUAAUCUUAAAUCCUCCUUUGUUUUGGCCUAAAAUCUAUUUAAAAAUUCACCUGAUAUUUAUAGAAGAUUUAUCUAAAAUCCAAUAAGCUUUUUUCCUUGAAAAUGUAAAACCCAUAAACUCAAUAUUCUAUCACCACCUAUAAGAAAAGAAAGUUUAUUAUAAUUUCAAAACAAACAUACUAAGUACGUUGUUACAAAACCUCUAUAUCAGAAAUCCAGAAAUAAAUUUACUAAAUUGAAAAGUCAAAAAAAAAAAAAGAAGAAGAAGAAGAAGAAACAACAACAAGAGAGAUUAUUAGAAAUCCUCAAAUAAGGACGUGUUUGGAUAACAGGAAACUGAAAAUUAAGAUCUAGAGUAACAAUUAAGUUUCUCUACCUUGGAGGUGGAGAUAGAGGAAGAGGAGCGAGGUAUCUAGUGAAAAACAGCCGCAAGCUUGGUAAUAUGCGAAGAGGAUUAUACGUCGUCGUUUGACGGAUAAAAUCCUCUAUCGAUUCCACGAACAAAUUCAAGCUCCUUAUCGGCGGCACGUAUAGUGUCAGCGGUGCCGCCGAGAACGCCACCGCGAAGAACACCUCCAACAUUCCUUUAAACCGCCGUCAACAAUCACCGUAAAGUCAACACAGCCGUUGAUUUUGGCACUCCGGCGAAUAAUUUUUUAAAGGGAAUUU
rnacentral:lncRNA from 1 species